rnacentral:rRNA from 1 species
UACAGAGGGUGCGAGCGUUAAUCGGAAUUACUGGGCGUGAAGCGUGCGUAGACGGUCGCGUAAGUCAGAUGUGAAAGCCCCGGGCUCAACCUGGGAAUUGCAUUUGAGACUGCUCUGCUCGGGUGCGGAAGAGGGAAGCGGAAUUUCCGGUGUAGCGGUGAAAUGCGUAGAUAUCGGAAGGAACACCAGUGGCGAAAGCGGCUUCCUGGUCCGACACCGACGUUCAGGCACGAAAGCGUGGGGAGCAAACAGG